rnacentral:rRNA from 1 species
AUGAACGCUGGCGGCGUGCCUAAUACAUGCCAGUCGAGCGAACAGAUGAGGAGCUUGCUCCUCUGACGUUAGCGGCGGACGGGUGAGUAACACGUGGAUAACCUACCUAUAAGACUGGGAUAACUUCGGGAAACCGGAGCUAAUACCGGAUAAUAUAUUGAACCGCAUGGUUCAAUAGUGAAAGACGGUUUUGCUGUCACUUAUAGAUGGAUCCGCGCCGCAUUAGCUAGUUGGUAAGGUAACGGCUUACCAAGGCAACGAUGCGUAGCCGACCUGAGAGGGGGAUCGGCCACACUGGAACUGAGACACGGUCCAGACUCCUACGGGAGGCAGCAGUAGGGAAUCUUCCGCAAUGGGCGAAAGCCUGACGGAGCAACGCCGCGUGAGUGAUGAUGGUCUUCGGAUCGUAAAACUCUGUUAUUAGGGAAGAACAAAUGUGUAAGUAACUAUGCACGUCUUGACGGUACCUAAUCAGAAAGCCACGGCUAACUACGUG